rnacentral:rRNA from 1 species
AUUGAACGCUGGCGGCAGGCCUAACACAUGCAAGUCGAGCGAGCGGCGGACGGGUGAGUAAUGUCUGGGAAACUGCCUGAUGGAGGGGGAGAACUACUGGAUACGGAAGCUAAUACAGCAUGCCAUCAGAGGUGCCCAGAUGGGUUUAGCUAGUAGGUGGGGUAACGGCUCACCUAGGAGACGAUCCCUAGCUGGUCUGAGAGGAUGACCAGCCACACUGGAACUGAGACACGGUCCAGACUCCUACGGGAGGCAGCAGUGGGGAAUAUUGCACAAUGGGCGAAAGCCUGAUGCAGCCAUGCCGCGUGUGUGAAGAAGGCCUUCGGGUUGUAAAGCACUUUCAGCGGGGAGGCGUUACCCGCAGAAGAAGCACCGGCUAACUCCGUGCCAGCAGCCGCGGUAAUAC